AACGAACGCUGGCGGCAGGCCUAACACAUGCAAGUCGAGCGCCCCAGCAAUGGGGAGCGGCAGACGGGUGAGUAACGCGUGGGAACCUUCCCAAUGGUACGGAAUAGCCCAGGGAAACUUGGAGUAAUACCGUAUACGCCCGAAAGGGGAAAGAUUUAUCGCCAUUGGAUGGGCCCGCGUCUGAUUAGCUAGUUGGUGAGGUAACGGCUCACCAAGGCGACGAUCAGUAGCUGGUCUGAGAGGAUGAUCAGCCACACUGGGACUGAGACACGGCCCAGACUCCUACGGGAGGCAGCAGUGGGGAAUAUUGGACAAUGGGCGCAAGCCUGAUCCAGCAAUGCCGCGUGGAUGAAGAAGGUUUUC
rnacentral:rRNA from 1 species